AGGGGAAGUUUAGACUCGAUAUUAGGAAACAUUUCUUCCCCAAAAGGGCUGUCAAGCAUUGGAACAGUCUGCCCAUGGAAGUGGGUGAGUCACCAUUCCUGGAAGUAUUUAAAAGAUAUAUAGAUGUGGUGCACUUAGGGACAUGGUUUAGUGGUGGGCUUGGCAGUGCUGAGUUAAUAGUUGGACUUGAUGAUCUUAAAGGUCUUUUCCAAAUGAAAUGAUUCUAUGAUUCCAUUAAGAGAUCUAAAUGGACCUAAUUUUCCAUAUGUACUUUCUGAAGUUCACUUACUGAGCCCUCAUAUGAGGCAUCUGUGGAGUUUUUGAAUUUAAUUGCCCAAAAAGAGACACCAAAGUGCAGUUCUGAGAAUCUUAGCCUUUCAGUCUUAAUUUAGGCUCUGGUUUGUUGUUUGGGUUUUUUUUAAUACUUGGCCUUAUAAAAAGCAUAAUUUCAAAUCAUUUUAGUAAUGGAAGUUAUUUGAUUCUCUGUUCCUGAAGAGAGAGACUCCACUUAUAAAACAUCCUUAUAAAUGACCAAUUCUUUUCAAGUAUAUUACCAGUAUGCUGUUAUUUUUCAAGUGUGGCAUUUGUGUGUCUUAGAUUUUUUUUUACCUUUCAGGAAUGCUAUGAAAUAAGCUUCAUUCUCACUGUUAAUAGACAACUGUAAUGCCUUAACUUUUUAAUAGCUUUGGAAUGCAGUACAUUUGAAAUAUUUGAUAGACUCUGCAUUAUAUAGACUUUGCUUACACCCAAGGGAAAUUGCAAAUAUAAUAAUAGCUACAAGAUUCACUCUUCUUGUCUGAAUACUUUACAUAGAUGUUUAAAAUGACUAGACAAAAAAUUAUGAAAGCAGCAUAUGACUCAAAAUGUAAAUAAAAUAUGGGAACUACUGGACCAAAAUCUGCAUCCCAGAAAAACUUAGUGACAGUCAAGUCUCCAGAGAGGAUAAUUUAAAAACAUUUAGUAAGGACUUAGUCCUCACACUUACACAUCUGAGAGUCAAGUAUUUUGAGCAGCUGGGCUGCAAACAGUCUUUCCAGAAAUUCAGUGAGUGACUCUCUAAAUGUUUAAGCAGUUCUCAGAUAUUAUACUCAUUUCCCUGUGCUUGGUCUACCUGGGCUUUUUUGUUAACUAUCCAUGAUAGUGAUUUCCACAGUUUUCCAUCGCUAUGGAAGCUGCAGCCAAGAAUGGCCCACAAAUUCUGAGGAUUUGCAAUGAAGAACUAACUGUAAGGGUUUGUUUUAGGUUUGGGGUUUUUUUACAUGAGAGAAAAAAUGACCCAAAUGCAUGCUUAUCUUCUGCUCAUAUCAAUUGCCAGAGCUCCAGCAAUGGGGUAGUGUUGUGGCAGUUUACUUGAGCUGAGAAUCUGCUCCGUUUUUUUCUUUGAGGAACUGGGUUUGCAGAGUUGUCACCAUUACUUCACUGGAAGACACCACCGGAAAACACGUACUCUAAAGAAGGAGGCAAGCUUACAGACUCUGUAUGUGAGAGCUCUACUUAGCAACCCUCAGCAGGGCAGCAGAACCAGGUCCCAGAUACAGAGCUGAAACAAGCAGAUAAUUACAAGAAUACAAGCUAUGAAUUCCAGAAAGUUCAAACAAAUUCCUUCUGCUUGUUCAUAUCAAGAUUUAUACAAAUAGCAUAGCGUGAGACUUGGCAAGAUAAUUUUCCUUCAGUUUUGCCAUGUGUUUCUUCACAAGCCUGUCCCCCAUUUAAAAAAGCAGGAUCGCUAAUACUAGAGGUCUGUCUGAUGUCUCAACAUGUGCAUGUGUAGUUCUGUUGGCUGCAGUGCUACUGCAGUAAGGGCAAGGUAGUCAGAGCCAGUUUGUCUGUAUCUGCAGAAGUGAGUUCUCAGUGCUUGGUUGUGCUAUAAAGCCAGUCCCUGAGAAUCCCUGACAGUAAAUGUAAUUCUCCUCAAAUCUAGAGCAGUGUUUAAAGCGGAGGAAGCACAGGAGCCUCCUGAACAGUUUCUUCCCCCGUUGCUUGUCAGUGAUUUCACUGCAAUGCCUAGAAAAAGCAAAGCAGUUCAGACAUCUAUUUCUGAAAAGCUAGUUGUGGAUUCCCAGUGCUGAUGUGUUUUUCAGACCCUCUGGUGAAUUUCUAAGAUCUCUUGGAAUAACAGCUGCUGAGGGGGGCGGGGGUACUGGAAAUCCCCACUGUGGAUUUCAGGUUUACAGACUUUGAUGAAAUCUCUAAACAACAGGUUGGGAAAGCUGUUUUUUAUCAAGAGCAGCUAUGAAGGCAGAGAAGCAAACUCUUGUCAGUAAAGAGCUUUUCAUCUCCUUGUCAUAUUUUUCUGAGAAAUGAAGGGUAGGAGAGGAGUAGAGACUCUUUUCUGUUCAGCUUCUCCGUAGAGAGGUAUGCCAAUAAAGAUACAGCCUGAUACUCAGAAGUGUAUUGGUGGCCCUCACAAAAGCAGUGCCUUGAGAGCCACAGAGUGGGAGGGAGAAUCAUGCUGAGGGCUGGGUAGUAGCUCAGAACUGCUGUUGUUUUUUUCUUCCUUUUCUUGAAAGCCUAUUUUUUUCACAUAUUUGAAACCUAGAAGAGACUACUGUUACAAUUGGUUAAAUCCCUGUGUAACUUCAAACAUAGUUUGCAGCUGUGCAUGACAGAGAUCUGGAGGAGAAAAACUCCUUAUCUGAAACACCUUAGUAGUUCCUAGGUCAUAGGCAUUUUCAGUUCCUCACCAGCAUAUGGGAUAAUAUAUAAAAUGCUUUUCAUGCCUCAGGACAGCAUGUGAACAGAUUACACUGAUGUCAAUUUGUACAGUGCAGAACCUUCUCUCCACCUUCACCUUGCCAAUGUAGUAAUUCACUAAGAGUUGACAAUGUUAGGACUACAGUCUGACCACUGAGGAAAGAGUGAAUACCAUCAAGCAUAAAAAGUCUAACCAACAUCAUUUAAUGGCUUGUGAUGUCUGAGCAUCAACACUCCUCCAUGUUAAUGUCUUAACUAUCAUUUGAUUUUGUACUAGGGUCAAACAUUUUAGUUGCACACAGCAUUAGCGCAGUUAGCCAAGGGAUCAAGACGAGAUAAGCUUGUGAUGCAGUCUCUAUGGUUAAAACUGUGUUCACGAGAGCUAUAUAAUGGUCAACACCUGGAUACCUCUCUGGUACGCUACAAGAUCCAUUAUAUGAAUGGUCCACUGCUUGCUGUAUCUGUGGUGAUGGUCACAUUGCAGGUAUGAAUGAAUUUAGCAUUGAUUGGUUCUACAACACAUUUGACAUACUGUACACAAAACGUAGGUUCCUUGAUCAGUUCCUGGAGAACUGGCCUGACAGCAAAUAAAAGCAUGCCCCUGGGAUUCUUCUGUCUGAAAUAAUUUUGAUAACCUGCCUCAUGUGAGCUGCACAUAACACACUGCAUAAGCCCAUUCAUUAAGCCCAUUUUCUAUCAUCCUUUAGUUCAGGUUGAUAUUGCCUAAGUUUCCGGUAAUGUUUGAAAUGUGUAUAAUAAUUAUUGUCUCCUCAAGGAGAAAAUAAGACUUUUGCACCUGCUGGGUGCCUGAUGAGAGGCUACGUAUAUCGAGACUUCAGUUUGGAGAGAAGUCUGAGAGCAAAGAGUAAGGUUUACAAAAUCAUUAAUGGAGUGUAUCAAGUGAAUGAGUAACUGUUGCUCACCUGUUAUUCAACAGCAGAAGGAUUAGGAUGUUUCCAAUGAAGCUAGUAGGAGAUUGGUGUGAAACUGAUAGAAGAAAGUUCAUUUUUAUACAGAGAGUAAUGAACUCCCACAAUUUGUUGUCAUAGGAGACUGUGGAGGCAGGGUCAAAGCAGGGUUAAGCAAAUUCAGGGGCACCAGGUCUAUAAGCAUAUUAACAAAGUAUGCAUAUGCAGGGCAGUACCUUCUAAUAUCCCUCUUCCAGUGGUUGUGGUUGCUGGAUGGGAAUGAGGGGAUCAGACUGCACAAAGUGGCCAGGAACAGAUGUGUUCGCUAGAUGGUGUUUCCCACUGCAGCUAUCAUAAAGGUAGUGACAUAGCUGUGUCCCAGUCUGCUAUAACUGUGUUCUUAUAUCCUUAUAUUAACUGGAGAAUCAAACAGGUCAGACACUCUCUCAAACCAAAAAUAUGGCGUGCAUUUUCCAUGACCUUCCACUCUGUCCAAAUGUGAAGCAUUCAUUCUCACACUUUUGCCUGGUUCCUUUAGAAACUUAUUCACAAAUAACUUAAACAUAAAAUGGCAGUCCUCUAUGGGGAAUGGCUUAGUAAUCUUACACUCCCUCAGCUCCCCACAGCUACUGACUUCUCCAGAGCAGCCCCUUUCCUUUCCAUACAAGAGGGAAGGGUCUCUGGUCUUACUGUAAAAGCAGGAAGUUCAGAAGGAAGAAGCCGUGAUUCUAGUCAGAGAUGCUUUUGAUUUGGUCAGUCAAAAGGAAAACAUUAGUACUUACCUAAGGUAAUUAUUUGAAGAAUACGGUUAUAUUAUUUUCUGCCCCUGCACAUCACUGAAUCAGAGUGCAGUUACAUACUGUUGAGUUAUUGGUGGAACAGCAGCAGAAUGAUUAAGGAAAUCAAAAGGCAAAACUAUGCAAAAUAUGUUAGUUAUCAACAAAGUAAUUGGGUAGCAUUUAAAUGAACAAAACGGACAUAGUCAUGCAAAAUAUUACAAAGGAUUAUAAUAACUGUAGCAGAGAGUGGAGGCUUCCAAGUGACUGCAUUCCAAAUGACCUGAUUACAUUCACUACUGGCAAACAGGACUUUCUCAUCACUACCCUACUUCAGGGAACCCCAACAAGAGGGGAAGGUCACUCCAGAGGUGUCAGCGUUUCCCAAAGAAUGGGAAAUUAUAAAUGAGAGUGAGAGGAGAAAAGCUUUAGAGAGGAAGAAAACAAAUUCUGAAUUCUGUUAGAUGGAUAACAAGCUGUAUGUCAUAACAAGGAUAACUUUUAAGCCCACUGUGGUUCAGUGGUUACACCACCAGUCAGAGCAAAAAUCCAGUAUAUAGUACUGAAAAUAAUUUUUUAAAUGGGGAGAUCACAGAAGUAUAAAAUUGAUUUACAAAAUGGGGAAAGUGAUAGAUUGAAGCUGAAGACUACAGUAGAAAGACACUACAGGUUUAUAAUGAAAUGCAAAUUUCCUAAAAUAUACUUGUAAAGAAAGAAUUUCUAGUGAUGGUAUAAGAUGUUUCAUUAGAUGGAGAUAAUACAUUUUAAAUAAUGUAGGAAAAGACCAAGUUUUUACUGUUUUGGAUAUGAGAAGAUGAUGGAGAUAGUGAAACUGAAAUAUUUUCAAAUGCAUUAGUAAAAAAGGAGAAUUUUUAGUAAACACAGACUAGACAAUUUGAGAACUGGUCUUCCUAUGGUGUGCCAGAGUACCCUACACAAGCAUGGAUGUCCUCUCUUCCCCAAGCACAGCCUCCAGCUCCAUUUCUGUCCCCACUCGGCCGUGGGCUCACUGCAGAGCUGGCUUCAGGUUCCUGCGUGGGCAGUCCAUGCCUGAAGCACCCUUGUCAUCACCAGUAGCAGGCAUGCAAUAUCUGCCUAGCAGCUGGGGGUGCAUAGCCCAUCUGUUCCUUGGCCAGCACUGCACAACAGGGACAUUGUCAGCCACCAUGACCAGCUGAGGGGAUCACACCCAUUAAAGACCAGUGGUGCCUCCGACUGCUCCAUCAUGGUCUUGCUUAUCAGGCCUUCGUGCUGCUUGUUGGGGCCGUGGCGCAGUGUCCAUCUCCGCACUGCUGGCGGACUGGUGGCGGCGGUAUCCUGGAAGGGCGCUCUGCGUGUGGCACUCCAUUUGCUCUGCUCCCCGCCAGGAUGCCCACCACACGCAGCACGCCCAGCGCUGGCUCGGCCCCGGCCUCCUGCCCCGUCCGCCCGCUCGCCGCAGUAGGGUGGCUGGGCCGUCCCCUGUUCGGGAGCUCGGGGAUCGCUCCCGCCAUGCGGCGGCGGGGCCGCCCCGCUGGCUUUGCCCGCUAGAGGGCAAGAGAGCCCCGCACAAGCGCGGCGGGGCGCUGCCCCUGCCCCGCAGUGCUCGGUCCCACUCCUGCCCCGGGGUUCCGGCGGGGACCUGCCCUGGGGUGGCAGCUACAGGCGGCCUGAGCGGACCUGGGGAGCGGAGCCUCCGCGGACGUGCCUUCUGGAGGCGGCGACAGCCAGGGGCCCCGAGGCCUUCACCUGGGGUCUGGUGACCAGCAUUUCCAGCAGGAGAUGACCUGUAUGGCUAUGGUGCCCUAGAUGAAGAGGUAUUUUUCAUAAGGUAUGUUGCUGGGGAGUACAAGAUGCAAAAUACUGAAGCCUGCACUAGAACGAAAAAUAAAAUUCCAUAUAAUACUUUUCA